rnacentral:rRNA from 1 species
AACGAACGCUGGCGGCGCGCCUAAUACAUGCAAGUCGAGCGAGAAGGUGUAGCAAUACACUUGUAAAGCGGCGAACGGGUGAGGAAUACAUGGGUAACCUACCCUCGAGUGGGGAAUAACUAGCCGAAAGGUUAGCUAAUACCGCGUACGCUUCCGGGACUGCGGUUCCGGAAGGAAAGCGAUACUGUGAGUAUCGCGCUCUUGGAUGGGCUCAUGUCCUAUCAGCUUGUUGGNGAGGUAACGGCUCACCAAGGCUUCGACGGGUAGCUGGUCUGAGAGGACGAUCAGCCACACUGGCACUGCGACACGGGCCAGACUCCUACGGGAGGCAGCAGUAAGGAUAUUGCGCAAUGGACGACAGUCUGACGCAGCGACGCCGCGUGGGGGACGAAGGUCUUCGGA